GCAUUGAAACAGCGAGACGAUGACCUUAGUAGAGAGCUUGAGUUCCUCAAGAACAGAAUCGAUGAACUGGAGCGACAUUCCAAAACACGAGGAUUAAGUAGUAUUUUUAGCAUCAGUCAUGCAGAAAGUACCAAGGAUAAAGUUAAAGCUGGUUGAUCCUCUGCUAGUGUUGUGCUAACAUACAUACACAUUGUAAGACACCCCUCUCCAGUUGAGCAAUAACGACUCAAUCUCUAUUUUUCUCUACUUCUUAUUUCUACUA
rnacentral:misc_RNA from 1 species